rnacentral:rRNA from 1 species
AGUGAACGCUGGCGGCAGGCCUAACACAUGCAAGUCGAGCGGCAGCGGGUCCUUCGGGCUGCCGGCGAGCGGCGGACGGGUGAGGAAUGCAUCGGAAUCUGCCCUGUCGUGGGGGAUAACCUAGGGAAACUUAGGCUAAUACCGCAUACGACCCACGGGUGAAAGCGGGGGAUCGCAAGACCUCGCGCGAUAGGAUGAGCCGAUGUCCGAUUAGCUAGUUGGCGGGGUAAAGGCCCACCAAGGCGACGAUCGGUAGCUGGUCUGAGAGGAUGAUCAGCCACACUGGGACUGAGACACGGCCCAGACUCCUACGGGAGGCAGCAGUGGGGAAUAUUGGACAAUGGGCGAAAGCCUGAUCCAGCCAUGCCGCGUGGGUGAAGAAGGCCUUCGGGUUGUAAAGCACUUUUGGCUGGGAAGAAAUCGUCUGGGCUAAUACCCCGGGCGGAUGACGGUACCGGAAGAAUAAGCACCGGCUAACUUCGUG